UUGAUCGACAGAGAUGUCUUUCUUCAGUUCGGCUGGCCGGAACACAGGUGCUGCAUGGCUGUCGUCAGCUCGUGUCGUGAGAUGUUGGGUUAAGUCCCGCAACGAGCGCAACCCUCGCCCCUAGUUGCCAUCAUUCAGUUGGGAACUCUAGGGGGACUGCCGGUGAUAAGCCGCGAGGAAGGUGGGGAUGACGUCAAGUCCUCAUGGCCCUUACAGGCUGGGCUACACACGUGCUACAAUGGCGGUGACAAUGGGCAGCGAAAGGGCGACCUCGAGCUAAUCCCAAAAAGCCGUCUCAGUUCAGAUUGUACUCUGCAACUCGAGUACAUGAAGGUGGAAUCGCUAGUAAUCGUGGAUCAGCAUGCCACGGUGAAUACGUUCCCGGGCCUUGUACACACC
rnacentral:rRNA from 2 species